UUGAAGAGUUUGAUCAUGGCUCAGAUUGAACGCUGGCGGCAGGCCUAACACAUGCAAGUCGAACGGUAACAGGAUGUGCUUGCACAUCGCUGACGAGUGGCGGACGGGUGAGUAAUGCUUGGGAACUUGCCUUUGCGAGGGGGAUAACAGUUGGAAACGACUGCUAAUACCGCAUAAUGUCUUCGGACCAAACGGGGCUUAGGCUCCGGCGCAAAGAGAGGCCCAAGUGAGAUUAGCUAGUUGGUAAGGUAACGGCUUACCAAGACAGCGAUAGAUAGGGGCCCUGAGAGGGGGAUCCCCCACACUGGUACUGAGACACGGACCAGACUCCUACGGGAGGCAGCAG
rnacentral:rRNA from 1 species